AGAGUUUGAUCAUGGCUCAGAGUGAUCGCUGGCGGCGUGCUUAACACAUGCAAGUCGAGCGAAUCUUAGCAGCACACCGCUAGGGUUAGCGGCAGACGGGUGAGUAAUACUUGGGCAAUCUGCCCUCCAGUGGGGGACAACCUGCCGAAAGGCGGGCUAAUACCCCAUAAGACCACAGGGAUGCAUAUUCUGGGGGUCAA
rnacentral:rRNA from 1 species